GGAGAAAGAUCUUGUGCAGAUUGCUGUUGAAGAUUCAGUGGACAGUGAUGAUGGUGGAAAGGCAAUUAUCCGUGAGAUGCCUCCAUUUGAAGCUGAAGGUGCAAUUGCCAACAUGGUGAAAGAUUGGAUUAAGAUGAGAAUAGACAGACUCAAGGAAUGGGUUGACAGAAAUCUCCAACAAGAGGUCUGGAAUCCUCAAGCUAGCGAAGGAGGAUUUGCCCCCUCUGCUGUUGAAGUCCUUAGGAUUAUUGAUGAAACUUUAGACGCAUUCUUCCUGCUGCCAAUACCGAUGCAUCCAGCAUUGCUCCCCGACUUAAUGAGUGGCCUUGAUAGAUGUCUUCAGUAUUACGUAUCGAAGGCAAAAUCUGGCUGUGGAUCAAGGAACACAUAUGUUCCAACCAUGCCUGCACUAACCAGAUGUACGACUGCUACAAAGUUGUGGAAGAAAAAGGAUAAGACACUUAAUACAAAGAGGAACCCACAGGUUGCUACGAUUAACGGUGAUAAUUCAUCUGGGGUGCUGCAGUUGUGUGUACGUAUAAAUACUUUCCACAGAAUUCGAACAGAGCUAGAAGUUCUUGAGAAGAGAAUUAUUACCCUUUUGAGGAAUUCUGAAUCAGCUCAUGUAGAGGACUUCUCAAAUGGGUUAGGAAAGAAGUUUGAAAUCUCACCUGCUGCUUGUAUUGAGGGGAUCCAACAGCUCUCUGAGGCACUCGGCUAUAGGAUUGUCUUUCAUGAUCUAAGUCCAGUUUUAUGGGAUGGACUGUAUAUUGGGGAGCCAUCCUCUUCUCGCAUUGAGCCUUUCCUUCAAGAACUUGAGAAGAAUCUGACGAUCAUAUCAAACACCGUUAAUGAUAGAGUUCGGACUCGAAUUAUUGCAGACAUAAUGAAAGCAUCAUUUGAUGGUUUCCUGGUGGUGUUGCUUGCUGGAGGACCUUCUAGAAUUUUCACGCAGCAGGAUUCACAAAUUAUAGAGGACGAUUUCAAGUCCUUGAAAGAUGUUUUCUGGGCAAAUGGGGAUGGAUUGCCUGUGGAUAUAAUAAAUAAAUAUUCAACAACAGUGAGGGAUGUACUCCCUCUUUUCCGGACUGAUGCAGAGAGCCUCAUUGAGAGAUUCAGGCGAUCAACGUUGGAAACUUAUGGUUCAUCCGCAAAAUCUAGGCUUCCCUUGCCCCCUACCUCAGGGCAAUGGAAUCCAACUGAACCAAACACCCUGUUACGGGUCUUGUGCUACCGAAAUGAUGACGCUGCUUCCAAGUUCCUUAAAAAGACUUACAACUUGC
rnacentral:misc_RNA from 1 species